CCCCCCCCCCUCUAGCGUAAAGCGUAUUGUCCAACAGAUGCGUUCAUUGCUAGAAGGAGGCCAGUGGCAACUCCUGAGCCCUAUCCUAAGCGACCUAGUACGAGGUUGCAGAAAAGGAAGCUCUUGAUUCUACCCUAUGGAAGAGUAAAAGGAGUAGUAAGAAGAAGAAAAAGAGGCGGGUAAAAAAUGGAGAGGUUGUGUGUGAUAAGAGAAUUCAAAACGGAAGUAAAUGAGGAAGCUGCAGAGGAACCAAGUUCCUUAGUCAAGAGGUCUCAAGAAAAAAAAGUGAUUUGCUGAAACUGCUUUAGAGGAAGGUGUUGCUACGCCAAGUUCAAAGUCAGUGAAAAUUGGUGACAAGUUGAAGCAAGUAGUGGCUGAAGAGUCGCUGUCUGAUAAGACUAUCUUAGUGAAAUCAAGUGGCAAAGGUAAGUCUAGAGUGAAGUCUGGUAAAAGAAAGUUGAAGACUGUGAGGGAACCCG
rnacentral:lncRNA from 1 species